CCUACGGGUGGCUGCAGUGAGGAAUAUUGGUCAAUGGGCGCGAGCCUGAACCAGCAACGUCGCGUGAGGGAAGACGGUCCUAUGGAUUGUAAACCUCUUUUGCCGGGGAGCAAAAGACGCCACGCGUGGCGUUACGAGAGUCCCCGAAGCAAAAGCAUAGGCUAACUCCGUGCCAGCAGCCGCGGUAGUACGGGGGAUGCGAGCGUUAACCGGAUUUAUGGGUUUUAAAGGGUGCGCAGGGGGAAGGUCAAGUCGGCGUGAAAAUUGAGAGGCUCAACCUCUUAGCGCCGUUGAAACUGGUUGUCUUGAGUGAGGGAGAGGUAGGCGGAAUGCGUGGUGUAGCGGUGAAAUGCGUAGAUA
rnacentral:rRNA from 1 species